rnacentral:rRNA from 1 species
AACUUAAAGGAAUUGACGGAAGGGCACCACCAGGAGUGGAGCCUGCGGCUUAAUUUGACUCAACACGGGGAAACUCACCAGGUCCAGACACAAUAAGGAUUGACAGAUUGAGAGCUCUUUCUUGAUUUUGUGGGUGGUGGUGCAUGGCCGUUCUUAGUUGGUGGAGUGAUUUGUCUGCUUAAUUGCGAUAACGAACGAGACCUUAACCUCUAAAUAGGGCUGUUAGCAUUUUGCUGGCGAGCGCUUCUUACGGGGACUAUUGACUUGAAGUCGAUGGAAGUUUGAGGCAAUAACAGGUCUGUGAUGCCCUUAGACGUUCUGGGCCGCACGCGCGCUACACUGACGGAGCCAGCGAGUUGACCUUGGCCGAGAGGUCUGGGAAAUCUUGAAAAACUCCGUCGUGCUGGGGAUACAGCAUUGCAAUUUUUGCUCUUCAACGAGGAAUUCCUAGUAAGCGCAAGUCAUCAGCUUGCGUUGAUUACGUCCCUGCCCUUUGUACACACCGCCCGUCGCUACUACCGAUUGAAUGGCUUAGUGAGGCCUCCGGAUUUGUCUAGUGCUGGGGGCAACCUCGGCGCGGGACGGAGAAGCUGGUCAAACUUGGUCAUUUAGAGGAAGUAAAAGUCGUAACAAGGUUUCCGUAGGUGAACCUGCGGA